GUACUCCCUUAAGCAGUACAAAUACUAAAAGUGGAACAAUACAGAGAUUAGCAUGGACCCUGCACAAGUGUGACACGUAAAUUUGUGAAGCAUUUGAUAUUUUU